rnacentral:rRNA from 1 species
UACAGAGGUCCCAAGCGUUGUUCGGAUUCACUGGGCGUAAAGGGUGCGUAGGUGGUCGGGUAAGUCUAAUGUGAAAUCUCCGGGCCUAACCCGGAAACUGCAUCGGAUACUAUUCGGCUAGAGGGUUGGAGGGGGACUGGAAUACUUGGUGUAGCAGUGAAAUGCGUAGAUAUCAAGUGGAACACCAGUGGCGAAGGCGAGUCCCUGGACAACUCCUGACACUGAGGCACGAAAGCUAGGGGAGCAAACAGG